AGUAACGCGUGGAUAACCUGCCUCAUACAGGGGGAUAACAGUUAGAAAUGACUGCUAAUACCGCAUAAGCACACGGGAGCGCAUGCUCCUGAGUGAAAAGCUCCGGCGGUAUGAGAUGGAUCCGCGUCUGAUUAGCUGGUUGGCGGGGUAACGGCCCACCAAGGCGACGAUCAGUAGCCGACCUGAGAGGGUGGCCGGCCACAUUGGGACUGAGACACGGCCCAAACUCCUACGGAAGGCAGCAG
rnacentral:rRNA from 1 species